UCGACGCAAUCUUUUACAAUGAGUGCUUGCACUCAGCGUUUUAAGUGCGAGUGGCGAACGGGUGAGUAACACGUGGGCAAUCUGCCCAAAAGUGGGGGAUAACACUUGGAAACAGGUGCUAAUACCGCAUCAACCGGCUGACCGCAUGGUCGGCCGGGCAAAGACGGCGUCAGCUGUCGCUUUUGGAUGAGCCCGCGGCGUAUUAACUAGUUGGUAAGGGAACGGCUUACCAAGGUGAUGAUACGUAGCCGAACUGAGAGGUUGAUCGGCCACAUUGGGACUGAGACACGGCCCAAACUCCUACGGGAGGCAGCAGUAGGGAAUCUUCCACAAUGGACGCAAGUCUGAUGGAGCAAC
rnacentral:rRNA from 2 species